CCAGACUCCUACGGGAGGCAGCAGUGGGGAAUAUUGCACAAUGGGGGAAACCCUGAUGCAGCAACGCCGCGUGAGUGAAGAAGCGUUUCGGCGCGUAAAGCUCUGUCAGCGGGGAAGAAAGAAGACGGUACCCGACCAAGAAGCCCCGGCUAACUACGUGCCAGCAGCCGCGGUAAUACGUAGGGGGCGAGCGUUAUCCGGAGUGACUGGGUGUAAAGAGUUGCGUAGGUGGCAUAGUAAGUAGCUAGUGAAAUCUGGUGGCUCAACCAUUCAGACUAUUAGCUAAACUGCUAAGCUCGAGACCGUUAGGGGUAACUGGAAUUUCUAGUGUAGGAGUGAAAUCCGUAGAUAUUAGAAGGAACACCGAUAGCGUAGGCAGGUUACUGGGACGGUUCUGACACUAAGGCACGAAAGCGUAGGGAGCAAACGGGAUUAGAUACCCCUGUAC
rnacentral:rRNA from 1 species